ACAAUGGAGAGUUUGAUCCUGGCUCAGGAUUAACGCUAGCGGCAGGCCUAAUACAUGCAAGUCGAACGGUAAUCACGCUUUCGGGCGUGAACGAGUGGCGGACGGGUGCGUAACGCGUAUGCAACUUACCCUGUACCGGGGGAUAGCCCGGAGAAAUCCGGAUUAAUACCCCAUAAAGUAUAAAUAGGGCAUCCUAUUAAUAUUAAAGAUUUAUUGGUACGGGAUGGGCAUGCGUCUGAUUAGCUAGUUGGUACGGUAAUGGCGUACCAAGGCGACGAUCAGUAGGGGUUCUGAGAGGAAGAUCCCCCACACUGGCACUGAGAUACGGGCCAGACUCCUACGGGAGGCAGCAGUAGGGAAUAUUGGUCAAUGGGCGCAAGCCUGAACCAGCCAUGCCGCGUGCAGGAAGACGGCCUUCUGGGUUGUAAACUGCUUUUAUUAGGGAACAAAGAGGCACUGCGGUGCAAGUUGCGUGUACCUAAUGAAUAAGCACCGGCUAACUCCGUGCCAGCAGCCGCGGUAAUACGGAGGGUGCAAGCGUUGUCCGGAUUUAUUGGGUUUAAAGAGUGCGUAGGCGGUUAGAUAAGUCAGUGGUGAAAUACUACAGCUCACCUGUAGAGGUGCCAUUGAAACUGUCUGACUUGAGUGCAGAUGAGGUAAGCGGAAUUUAUGGUGUAGCGGUGAAAUGCAUAGAUACCAUAAAGAACACCGAUAGCGAAGGCAGCUUACUAGACUGCAACUGACGCUGAGGCACGAAAGCAUGGGUAGCGAACAGGAUUAGAUACCCUGGUAGUCCAUGCUGUAAACGAUGAUCACUCGAUGUGUGCGAUAUUACAGUACGCGUCCUAGCGAAAGCGUUAAGUGAUCCACCUGGGGAGUACGUCGGCAACGAUGAAACUCAAAGGAAUUGACGGGGGUCC
rnacentral:rRNA from 1 species